GACGAACGCUGGCGGCGUGCUUAACACAUGCAAGUCGAACGAUGAAGAAGAGCAACGCUAACUUCGUUUCAAGUUUCACUUCUGAUUAGUGGCAGACGGAUGUGUCACUCGUUAGCAACCUACCUCUUACAACUGGAUCUCCUCCGGGAACCGUGCUUAUUACCCUUUGACGCAUUCAUAAGGCAUCUUCAGAUUGUUAAAGCUACGGCGGUAAUCGAUUGGCUCGCGUCCGAUUAGCUAGGGGGUGCGGUAACGGCCCACCAAGGAGACGAUGGGUAACCGGGCGGGGAGGGGGAACGGUUACAAUGGAAAUGAGACACGGACCAAACUCCUACGGGAGGGAGCAGUGGGGAAUACUGUACAAUGGAGCGAACUGUGAUGCAGCGACGCGGCGGGAGAGAUGAAGGAAUUCGUAUCGUAAAGCUGUGUGCGAUGGGAAGAAAAGGACGGUAACAGAGGAGAAAGCACCGGCUAAAUACGUG
rnacentral:rRNA from 1 species